rnacentral:tRNA from 1 species
GAAAUAUCCUCAAUUAAGCUUCUAACUUAAGUAAUAGCGUUAUUCAACGUUAAUAUUUCU